GACAAACAUUCUCAAUUGAAGUAAAAAUGUCAUUCCCAAGUGACCAAAAGAGAUGCUAUGUUUUGGUGUCGAUUUGAUGUAAAUCUCAAAGAUUGCUCUGGCUCAACAACUGGGAUGAUUAUGAACAAAGAAGGAGAAAAACUAUUAUCCCUAACUGCAAAACAAAUUUAUGAAAGAGCUUCCACUAAGAGCAACUGUCCACCUAUGAAAGAUGGACACGCAAGCUUUAUCAACAAGAUCUUCUCUAUUCGAGCCAAGAAAAAAUUUGCCCGUACUUCAAAUGCAACUGCUACAAAAUUAUAUAUCCAAUCAUGCGUUGAAAAAGAAAAUACCACACAUUCUCUUCCAGCAGCACCAUACACAAUCAAUAUCUAAGAAGGAAGCAAAAGAAAACAAACAGUUGAACCAGAACAAGUGAGUGAACAGGCUGAAUCAUCAUCACUCAAAAUGAAGCAGAAACUGGA